UCCCUGGAGGACUAGUGGUUAGGCCUCGGCGCUCUCGCCGCCAUGGCCUGGGUUUGAUUCCCGGCCAGGGAG
rnacentral:tRNA from 1 species